rnacentral:rRNA from 1 species
CCUUGUACACACCGCCCGUCACACCACGAAAGCUGGUUACACCAGAAAUAGUUGUGCUAACCCGUAAGGGAGGCAGACUCUUAAGGUGAAACCAGUGAUUGGGGUG